rnacentral:rRNA from 1 species
GGCCGGACUCCGGUUGAUCCUGCCGGACCCCACUGCUCUCGGGGUAAGGCUAAGCCAUGCAAGUCGGAGGUCUCCGGGAAUCCGGGGGCCUGGCGUACGGCUGAGUAACACGUGGCUAACCUGCCCUGCGGAGGAGGAUAACCCCGGGAAACUGGGGAUAAACCUCCAUAGGUGAGUGGCUCUGGAACGACCACUCGCCGAAAUCCCUGCACGGGGAUCCUCCGUGCCGGGGCCGCAGGAUGGGGCCGCGUCCUAUCAGGUAGUUGGUGGGGUAACGGCCCACCAAGCCUAAGACGGGUAGGGGCCCUGAGAGGGGGAGCCCCCAGAUGGACUCUGAGACAAGAGUCCAGGCCCUACGGGGCGCAGCAGGCGCGAAAACUCCGCAAUGGGCGGAAGCCCGACGGGGUUACCCCGAGUGCCACCCUCGUGGUGGCUUUUGCCCGCUGUAAAAAGGCGGGCGAAUAAGGGGAGGGCAAGUCGGGUGUCAGCCGCCGCGGUAAUACCCGCUCCCCGAGUGGUGGGGACUAUUACUGGGCCUAAAGCGCCCGUAGCCGGCUCGGCGUGUCUCUCGUUAAAUCCACAGGCCUAACCUGUGGGCUGCGGGAGAUACUGCCGGGCUUGGGGGUGGGAGAGGCGCCCGGUAUUCCCGGGGUAGGGGUAAAAUCCUCUGAUCCCGGGAGGACCACCAGUGGCGAAGG